UAGAGGCGAGGCUUGGGACUUGGAAGGCGGGCGGAGCGAAAGUUUUAGCAGGUUUUUGCGCCGCGGGCGUGGGGGUGGGGAGUGUGACGGGAGAGAGAAGAGAAGAGAAGAGAAGACUGUGACAGACGGGUGGGUCCAGAGACGGACGACCGUGCGCCUAUAUACGGGGAAGAGAAGAGAAGACUUGCUCCAAGUGAAUACGAGUACCUCUCCCGAAUAAAAUUCCGCGCUUACUAUGGCGUAUGACAACAUACGGCUUAUCUUUAGAAAAAACUCAAAUACGCACGAAUGUGCGUAUUAUAUACUUUUUCUUUGUUCUAAAAUAAGUGUUAUUGUUAUAGUAUUAAAUUUAUACUAAAGUGAUACUUCC
rnacentral:lncRNA from 1 species